AAGUCGUAACAAGGUUUCGUCCUCUGAAUUUACGGAGACCUUGCCCCCAAGUCAUGCUCGCAUGGCUGCACUACCACGGUGCUGGAACGCUAUCGCUAGCAACCAGCAGCUCCCGCGAGGGAGUCCACAGAUCAAAUGGUAGUGGCCUCGCCGUCCGGCGGGGUUCUAAUAUGACCGAAAUCUCCCCGCAAGGGGGUGCUAGCUACUGUCCGUAGGUGAACCUGCGGAAGGAUCAUUACUGAAGUACUGCGGCCUCCGGGCCGCGGAACUCCCACCCACUGUUUACUAUACUUUGUUGCUUCGGCAGGCCGGGCCUUCGGGCCCCACCGGCGCCCCCCCGGGGCGCUGGCCAGCGCCUGCCAGAGGACCUGUAAAAUCUGUGUUAGUGUCGUCUGAGUACUAUAUAAUAGUUAAAA
rnacentral:misc_RNA from 1 species